GACGAUUAACAAGCUGAAGGGCCCAAGUGAGAAUGCCUCAAUUACACUUGGGAGAAAGAAGGAAACAAUCAUGGGGUGGGGGGAGAGUGAGGGACCUGGGUGGGAGAGGGGACAGGUAGGGGAAAGGGGGAACAUGAUCAGGUUUAGGAGCAGGGUUCAGUACUGAAGCCCUGAGAGCCAGCAGAAAGAAUGGAAGCAUGCAACCUUGGGAGGUAAGAAGUGGUGGAUCCUCUAGAAUGUACCAGAGGCCCAGGAGUUGAGAGACUAUUAGGACUCAAAGAGAGGGACCUUAGAUGAAAUGCCCUAUAGUGCAUAGAGGGAACAUGUAGUGUCCACCUCCAGCAGAAAGACAGGGCAUCAAGUGAGGGAUGGAGAUGCCAUCCCACAGUUUGAAACCCUUACACAGAAUCGUUCCUGUCUAAAAGAACUGGAGGGACAAAAUGAAGGAAAGCCUGAGGGAAAGAAGGUCCAGUGAUAGGCCCAAAUGGGGAUCCAUCUCAAAGACCUGACACUAUUAUUGAUGCUAUGGUGAGUUGCAUUUUGAGAGACCCAUCAAGUAGCUGAAAGAAUCAGAUGCAGAUACUUAUACCCAACUAGUAGACCGAAGGCAAGGACCCCUAUGGCUGAAUCAGGUAAAAGCUGGAAGCAGCUGAGAAGAGGGUGACCCCAUAGGAAGACCAGCAGUAUCAACUAACCUGGACCCCUGAGAUCUAUCAGACACUGAGCAACUACCCAGACAGCAUCCACCAGCUGAUAUGAGGCCCCUGAUAUACAGCAGAGGACUGCCUGGUCUGGCCUCAGUGAGAGAAGAUGCACCUAACCCUUGUGAGACUUGCGGCCCCAAGGAGUGGUGAGGUCUGGUGGGGUGGAGGUUGGGAAGUGGGCAUACUCUUGGAGAUAGCUGGAAUGAGGAGGAGUCUUACACGCGUUCUCGCGACCGGCCAGGAAGAACGCAGCAAACCAGAAUCUUCUGCGGCAAAACUUUAUUGCUUACAUCUUCAGGAGCAAGAGUGCAAGAGGGCAAGAGCUCUAUUGCUUACAUCUUUAGGAGCCAGAGCGCAAGAGCGCAAGAGCUUUAUUGCUUACAUCUUUAGGAGCCAGAGCGCAAGAGUGCAAGAGAGCAAGAGCAAAAGCAAGAGAGAGAAUGGCGAAACCCCGUCCCUUUUUAAGGAGAAUUAUUCUCCGCCUAGGACGUAUUACUCCCUGAUUGGCUGCAGCCCAUCGGCCGAGUUGUCACGGGGAAGGCAGAGCACAUGUAGUGGAAAACUACCCUUGGCACAUGCGCAGAUUAUUUGUUUACCACUUAGAACACAGGAUGUCAGCGCCAUCUUGCAACGGCGAGUGUGAGGGCGGCUCCCCACAGAGGAGGUAUGGGAUAAGGAACAGUCAGAGGGCAGACAGGGAGUGGGAUAAUGACUAGACUGUAAAAAUGGAUUAAAACUAACUAACUAGGUAACUAACUAACUAACUAACUAAAUAUAUUCCAGGAAUGUCAAAAUAGGGGUAACUUAUAUUAAAUAUGUUCUUGACAUCCCCACCCCCUUUAUUAGAUUACUAUUUUAACUUUUACAAGGAAUAUUUUGUUAUUGAUUGUGUUUAAUCAUUCCAUUCCUUUCCAGAAUCCUAUACAUGUUCUGUCUUCUUUAUCUUUUCAGAAAUAAAGAAAAAUAAAAUUAAUUUAAAAAAAGAACAAGAAAAAAUUGAAAAGUUUCUGUAAGGCAAAGAACACUGUCAAUAGGAUUACGACAAAUUGGCAAUCAACAGGUUGGGAAAAGAUCUUUAUCAAUCUUAUAUCUGAUAGAGGGCUAAUAUCCAAUAUAUAC
rnacentral:lncRNA from 1 species